CGAACCUGCCCUAGAGUGGGGGGACAACAGCCCGAAAGGGCUGCUAAUACCGCAUGUGAAUGAUGAACGGCAUCGUUUAUCAUUCAAAGCAGCAAUGCGCUCUAGGAUGGGCCCGCGGCCUAUCAGCUAGUUGGUGAGGUAACGGCCCACCAAGGCUUCGACGGGUAGCUGGUCUGAGAGGACGAUCAGCCGGAUUGGGACUGAGAUACGGCCCAG
rnacentral:rRNA from 1 species